UUCUCAGACACUCCUCCGAGCCCGGGCUGC
rnacentral:piRNA from 1 species